GGUUCCUCAUUAAUUGGUUCGGCCGUUCGGGUGCGUUUGCGUUCCAGCCGUCUUGGUUUGUUCCUGCUCUCUCCUUUCGUUCUUUCAUUCUCCCUUCCGUUUUCGUUUGUUUGUUUUCUCAUUUUCUUUCACUCUGCUCUUGUGGCUGUGAUGACUAUUUCGUUUCUCGAAUCUGAUAUCGAUGUCAUUCGAGGACCGCCUUGAUGACUUCAUUUGUGCGUGUCUGAGCCAUUUUUGUUCUUGUUCUUCGAUCUAAAUUGUAGAAAUCAAACAUUUAGAUCACCUGAUUGACGGGAUCGGAUGAUGAUCGAUGUGGAUUUUACUUUUGUUACUGAUUUGAUAGUUUGAUUAGGCUUCAUAUGUGCAUAUUGAUUGGAUCAGUGGAGAAGGAAGGGGAAGUUGAUUAAUGAGAACCCAAAUUUAAUAUGCUUGUUUUAGCUCUUGGAGGCCUUCUUUCUUGUGAAAUUUUAGAUUUCAAUGUUGCUUGGUCUCAGGAAGAUGCCAGCUAAAUCUUGGGGCUUUCUCCAUCAAGGAGCUCUUUGAGUUGGAGGAUCUGUGUGAUGCAUGCAUGGGGUGUGUUUACUGCACUGUUCUGUACUCAUAUGGGCGCAUUUAAUCUUUGAAUGGAUAGCUUUUGGUUGAAUGAGACUGAUUCUGAGCUGUUUUCAUUGAAGGCGUGACAAUCAUUGGUUAUUGGGAUUUCAUCUUUUUACCAUUGGUUUGUCUCUUUGUUUAUUUUUUUGAGAUUUAAUUAUUUUCCUUACCAAGUGCAUGUUUGAUGAGUAAUUCUACUUCUUGAUCUUGAUAUCUUGUUUUCGUUUUGACUGCUUGUGUAUGUAUCUCGGACAACUUUUUCUUGUUCAGAAUGUGUAGUUUAGUAAAAUAUUGUUAGUUCUGUGUACCAAAAUGACCUCGGAGAUAGCGAUAUGUUUCAUCGGAAGAGUAAAUGUCACUUAAAAAUAUUCUCUCAUAUCAGUUUGGGUUUCCUAAGUGUAAAUUCCAAAUAUUUCUCUUCUUGUAGGUACAAAGAAAGCCUUUUAUUAUAUGGCAUGAAAUUUAGUCAGGGGAGCAUACGUAAGUAUAAACUCGCAUAGCAUUUAUAGCUCAUUGUUCUCAUCAGGAUAGACUAUAUAAAUUACUUGAGUCUCAUGUAGAUCUUACAAAAUGCUGAUUCUAAUAUGGCAUUAGAUGCAUUGAGUACUUGACAUGUUCUGAGAUUAUGAUGCAUGCCAAUAACAGGAAAUCAGACAGACUUCAUCCUUUUUUCACUGUUUAAUUUGAUCAGAUGUGGCCAUUUACAGCACAGUAGUGUUUCUGCAUUAUGCCAGAAUGCCAUCGAUGCUGCUGCUUUGUUUCCUCCUGUGAGCCUCAUAUGACUGAAGCAAUUCACAUUGGCACAGCAAAAUGUGAAUCAAGAGAACGUUUAUCUUCAUAUGUCUCGACUCAUUCCUCGGAUUGUUGGGAAUUUUAUAGCAAUUCAUGUGGUGUAUUUGUGCCUCCACACAGUUUGCUGGGACAUGAAUUGUGGGAAUUAACGAGUUGGAUUGGGUUUCUUAUGUUAUCAAUUGAUAGUAUGUUAUGUUACGGAUGUUAGCACCAUAGCAGUGACCUCCAAAGUUGGCUGAGCUCCACAUUGUAAAAGAUUAUUUCUAGUUAGAAUUAAUCAAAAUGCACAAUAAAUCCACUCCAUCAUUCUUUCA